CCGAGCCGCCGCCGGAGCCGGAACGGGCGCGUGGCGCCGCUUCCGCCGGCGGGGCUGGUGGUGCCCGCGGGGGAGGCCGGGCAAGGCCGCCGAGAGUGCGUGCGUUCGGAGCGGCUGGGCGCUGGGCGGCACGCUCAGGACUUUUGUAACGGAGGGUGUUCUGCAGAGAAAAAGUUGUUUGAGUUCCGUCUUGUCCAGGACUGGUUUCCUCUCUGCUGUCACCAUGGCAAUGUCACUUAGAACUGCAUGGUCCAGCCUCCUUUGGAUGCGUUCAGCAGCAACCUGUAGGCAGGUCCCACUGCAGAAUGGAGCUGUGUAUCAUGCUUGCCAUAAAUCUACAUACUCAGUUCUCCCUGAAGACUACAAUUGCAAAGUGGAACUUGCAGUGACAUCCGAUUCGAAGACAAUUGUCUGCUACCACCCUUCGCUUGAGAUUCCAUACGAGCAUACAAAACCCAUACCACGGCCAGAUCCAGUGAAUAAUAAAGAAGAAAACCUUGAUCAAGUUUUAAAAUCCAGAUUGAAUGAAAACGAGCUAAAGAACAGUAGAGGUCCUACAAUUGAAGAGCUCAGCAAAAUGUUUUACACAACAAAACAUCGUUGGUAUCCUGUGGGACAGUAUCAUAGAAGACGCAAGAAUCCUAAUCCUCCUAAAGACCGAUAGCGAAGAUAACUUCUCGUUCAUCAGGACUUUGCUGUUAAUUUUGUUUGGAAAUAAAAGUUACAGAAGGUCUCAAGCAACUGUCUUU